AACGCAUCUUGCGCUUUUGGGUAUCCCUGAAAGCAUACCUUUCUGAGUAUCGUUUCAACCCCCUCCACGCGGCGUGCAUUUAUUUGUACGAUCCGUUUGUGGGUAAAUGGAUGUUUGGCUGACGCCAAUCAUCUGAAACGCAUUCAGUUUCAGUAUCUUCGACCGCUAAAACUCGUUUUUGGCGCGUUGACGAUGUUUGAUAAUUGACCUUUGGUCAUUACUCUAUCACAUCGGCAAUGUAGAAGAACCACUGCAAAUUGUUUCAAGGCCCAAGAAUGACAAAACGCAAGUUUUGAAUUUCUUAAUCUUGAUCUCAGAUAAAGUAAGAGAACCCGCCGAAUUUAA
rnacentral:misc_RNA from 1 species